ACCAGAUAGGGGAAAGAGGAAGAUAGUGACCAGAUAGGGGAAAGAGGAAGAUAGUGACCAGAUAGGGGAAAGAGGAAGACAGUGACCAGAGAGAGGGGAAAGAGGAAGACAGUGACCAGAUAGAGGGAAAGAGGAAGACAGUGACCAGAGAGAAGGGUGAGGAGGGGGAUGGUCAGAGAAAAGAAGUGGGUGGCUACCUGGCGUUCGGUUGUCUCUAUGGUCCCGGGUUCAUACCCUCCUCACUGUCAUCCCCGUCGUCCUGCGGGAGGUUUGAACUAGAAAGUCAAUUAGUGAGAGAGGGUCUAAAUAGAGGCAACAGAGAAGGAGUGAGGAAGCGAAGAAAUAAGGAAGAGCGGGACGAGAGAGAGAGGGAGUAAAGAAAAGAGGGCAUGAGGACUAGAGGAAGAAUAUCAAUGAGUGUAAAGAUCAAUCUCAAAUCAUUUCCCGUGCAUCUAUUCAACAAGUUUCGAUUAGCUUCUCAAUUAUUUCAUCAAUACACCACGGGACACUUGUGCACGAAGGCAGGUGAGACUCAGAGGGGAGCUUUUGUUCACAAUGUCGAGUGACAUGCAAAGUAAUAAUAUCAAUCAAGGUUCAAACGAGACUCCGAAGCUAACAUUACUUCUAGAUCUAUAACGAACUGUGUAAAAGCAUUAUAAAACAAAACGAGGUAUAGAGUUGCGUCAAAUAGAGAAUCGCUGCACAGUGUCCUCCCCCCCCCCCCCCA